GGAGGGGGGCUAUUCCUCAGUGUCAGAGCACCUGCUUUGUAUGCAGAAGGUCCCAGGUUCAACUUUUGGCUUCUCCA